AGAGUUUGAUCCUGGCUCAGAACGAACGCUGGCGGCAGGCUUAACACAUGCAAGUCGAGCGCCCGCAAGGGGAGCGGCAGACGGGUGAGUAACGCGUGGGAAUCUACCCUGAACUGCGGAAUAGCUCCGGGAAACUGGAAUUAAUACCGCAUGUGCCCUGAGGGGCAAAGAUUUAUCGGUUCAGGAUGAGCCCGCGUCCGAUUAGCUAGUUGGUGGGGUAAAGGCCUACCAAGGCGACGAUCGGUAGCUGGUCUAAGAGGAUGAUCAGCCACAUUGGGACUGAGACACGGCCCAAACUCCUACGGGAGGCAGCAGUGGGGAAUAUUGGACAAUGGGCGCAAGCCUGAUCCAGCCAUGCCGCGUGAGUGAUGAAGGCCCUAGGGUUGUAAAGCUCUUUCAGUGGGGACGAUAAUGACGGUACCCACAGAAGAAGCCCCGGCUAACUUCGUG
rnacentral:rRNA from 1 species